rnacentral:rRNA from 1 species
CACUCCUACGGGGAGGCAGCAGUGGGGGAAUAUUGCACAAUGGGCGCAAGCCUGAUGCAGCCAUGCCGCGUGUGUGAAGAAGGCCUUCGGGUUGUAAAGCACUUUCAGUCGUGAGGAAGGUAGUGUAGUUAAUAGCUGCAUUAUUUGACGUUAGCGACAGAAGAAGCACCGGCUAACUCCGUGCCAGCAGCCGCGGUAAUACGGAGGGUGCGAGCGUUAAUCGGAAUUACUGGGCGUAAAGCGCAUGCAGGUGGUUUGUUAAGUCAGAUGUGAAAGACCCGGGGCUCAACCUCGGAAUUGCAUUUGAAACUGGCAGACUAGAGUAUUGUAGAGGGGGGUAGGAAUUUCAGGUGUAGCGGUGAAAUGCGUAGAGAUCUGAAGGAAUACCGGUGGCGAAGGCGGCCCCCUCGGACAGAUACUGACACUCAGAUGCGAAAGCGUGGGGAGCAAACAGGAUUAGAUACCCUGGUAG